rnacentral:rRNA from 1 species
CCUACGGGAGGCAGCAGUGGGGAAUAUUGCACAAUGGGCGAAACUCUGAUGCCGCGACGCCGCGUGAGUGAAGAAGUAUUUCGGUAUGUUAAGCUCUAUCAGUAGGGAAGUAAAUGACGGUACCUGAUUAAGAAGCCCCGGCUAACUACGUGCCAGCAGCCGCGGUAAUACGUAGGGGGCAAGCGUUAUCCGGAUUUACUGGGUGGAAAGGGAGCGUAGACGGCAGGACAAGUCUGGAGUGAAAUGCCGGGGCUUAACCCCGGAACUGCUUUGGAAACUGGGCAGCUAGAGUGCAGGAGAGGUAAGUGGAAGUCCUGGUGUAGCGGUGAAAUGCGUAGAUAUUAGGAAGAACACCAGUGGCGAAGGCGGCUUACUGGACUGUAACUGACGUUGAGGCUCGAAAGCGUGGGGAGCAAACAGGAUUAGAUACCCCAGUAGUC